rnacentral:rRNA from 1 species
GACGAACGCUGGCGGCGGGCUUAACACAUGCAAGUCGAACGGAAAGGCCCUGCUUUUGUGGUGUUCUCGAUUGGCGAACGGGUGAGUAACACGUGAGUAACCUACCCUUCACUUUGGGAUAACUUCAGGAAACUAGGGCUAAUAUCGUAUAGCAUCUCCUGCUCCAUUGUGGGGGGUGGAAAGUUUAGGCGGGUGGGGAUGGACUCGCGGCUUAUGAGUUUGUUGGUGGGCGAGGUGCUUACCAAGGGAUUGACGGGUAGGCGGCAGGAGAGGGUGAACGGGCACAUGGGGACUGAGAGAGGGACCAGACUCCUACGGGAGGCAGCAGUGGGGAAUCUUGCACAAUGGGAGCAAGCCUGAUGAAGAGACGCUGCGUGCGGGAUGACGGCCUUCGGGUUGUAAAACGCUUUCGCCUGUGACGAAGCGUGAGUGACGGUAACGGGUAAAGAAGCACCGGCUAACUACGUG